UACGAAGGGUGCAAGCGUUAAUCGGAAUUACUGGGCGUAAAGCGUGCGCAGGCGGUUGCACAAGACAGAGGUGAAAUCCCCGGGCUUAACCUGGGAACUGCCUUUGUGGCUGUGCGGCUAGAGUGUGUCAGAGGGGGGUAGAAUUCCACGUGUAGCAGUGAAAUGCGUAGAUAUGUGGAGGAAUACCGAUGGCGAAGGCAGCCCCCUGGGAUAACACUGACGCUCAUGCACGAAAGCGUGGGGAGCAAACAGG
rnacentral:rRNA from 1 species